UACGAAGGGGGCUAGCGUUGUUCGGAAUCACUGGGCGUAAAGGGCGCGUAGGCGGCUUUAUAAGUCGGGGUGAAAGCCUGUGGCUCAACCACAGAAUUGCCUUCGAUACUGUAGAGCUUGAGACCGGAAGAGGUAAGUGGAACUGCGAGUGUAGAGGUGAAAUUCGUAGAUAUUCGCAAGAACACCAGUGGCGAAGGCGGCUUACCUGGUCCGGUUCUGGACGCUGAGGCGCGAAAGCGUGGGGAGCAAACAGG
rnacentral:rRNA from 1 species